UCGAUACCUGCUUGCUGAAGCCCACAGCUUGAAAGGCUUGCUUAACAGCGGCGAGACGCUCCCUGCUCUCCGUAGACGCAGCGGCCGCAAGAGGGAUCCCCCCCGGAAGUCCCCCGUUAAGAUACCUCCACAAAGAAUAAUUAAGAUGCAUUGAAAAUGGGGACAGACCCUCAGCCAUCAGGUAGAAGAUGUUGAAGCUGUGUUGCUGAAGAGGACACUGGACCACACGAGACUUCUCCAGCAUUGUAAACUAGGGCGGUUCGUGUCGGGACACGUACCUCAGGAUGAAACAUUGGGGUCGUCUCUCCUGCAGCAUCAUGUGGUACGCUCUCUCUGCCGAGGAGAAGAUGUGAGGGGGCAAAGAGGAGCACAGGCGGCCUGUGGAGCUCAGGCUGCAGCCCACCAGAAGUGAGAGGGUGACAGACAGCGAGCAGACCGCACAUAUUGUGACAUAUGUCCUUCGAGCACCUCCCAGAGGGACGGAGCUUGGCAGGAGAAGAUGUCUCCUCCGAUCCAGUCCAAAUCCUCCAAAAGUGCCAUUUGGAAUAACGUGCAGCGCUCAUUGUGUAAUUUACUGAGAGUGGCAUUUGUUCAAAAUUCAGUUUCGGGCCCCGCACGUGGCUCCACCCUUGGAUUUCUUGAUGCACAGUCAGCCUUAUGCUUGUGCUUUGAUGACAGGAAGAAUGCAUUAUUAAUCAACCACAAAGUCCAUUUCACAUGUUUAUGUCUCUCUAUUAGACAGCCGACAUCCAUUAUUGUGUUACUUUUAAUGUGCACUGCAAGGACUAUCCCACGGAAAAGCAUGUUUACAGUUUAGGACAAAUUCAAGGACAACUUGAAAUAUCCGCCUCAUUAAAAUGUCAUUUUUGUAAUUUUGGGGAAACAGCACAGGAGAGCGUCUAAUGGUCUUUCCUGUAAGUCUGAUAACGUUGAGGUCUGUUAAAAGCUUACCAAAGUGGAGUAGAUGGGCAGCGCUUUGUUUGGGUUGACCAGCAAAAGAAUGUGUCCGAUGUAAGUCUGCAACAGAGGCAAACAAACAAAAUUCAUGUCAGUAUGACAUGCAUAUGUCAAUAUGCACCCUUCCUACACAGUGUAUACUUACAUUUGGAAAAAUGUAUCACUAUUGGAACCUUUUAAAGUGAGGCCUUACACUCUGCUCUCUAGCAAAGAGUCCCAACGGAGCUUUGCAAGCCGCAAGAGCGUAUUGGCCCUGCUGGUUCAAGGUCGAUGGCCUGAACACGUUACGUCUUUACGAGGUUUACUAGUGUGUCCCUGAGGGUGAACAACUUUCAAUCCAGUAGUGAACCGUCGAGCUAUUGUUAAUGACGGUCGUCCCCAGCAGCUCCGCUGAGCGACGGGGUGGUUAGCGGUCCGUUGGCAGCAGGUGAAAGAACCCUCAUCAAAAUGUCAUCUCCGACCACCCUGCUGGGAGCAUAUGGGGCGCUCGCCAUCUUUGUCCUCACGCCAUCACUGUCCCAUUUUCUUUUAAUCAAGGCAAUUGUUGGGUAGGAUACAUUUAAAAUAGGCAUCGAACUUUUUUUAUUUCAAUUUCUCAUCCAAUGGGAAUGUGGUGAACAACACAGACGUGCAUAGUUAGAAGAAAAAUACAUCACAAGUGAUAUAUAUUACUGUACAUUUUCAGAAGGCUUGCGACAUUUCUUGGAUUUUUCAUCACUGGUUACGCCACGUUCGCACUGUCACUUGUUAGUUUGUGGAAUACAAAAACGAGCCGCCAGGAACAGGAAGUAAUACAGACAUGCAAUACGGAAAACGUCAGUUGGACAAUUUGGAAAUUAUUUGGCAAAUGUGAGUUGGAGGUCAAACUGUCAACUGUAUCAUAUGACUGGUUAUGCUAUUUCUUUUUUCUUUAGCUUCUUGCUUGAGUGAUAAUGUUUUAAAACAAAUUAAUUAAGCGCAUCUGUGAGAUGCCUUAUUAUGCCCUCCUCAGUGGUCACUUAAGACUGUUUUUACAAUUAUUAAUAUUACAGUGGUUAACUUAUUUUACACUUGUUUAAGUAUGUUAAAGUUGUAUUUUAAAAAAAAAAGAAGAAAAAAAAAGUCUUUACGGUUACGAUAGUUUGACCCUGCAAUGGACUAAUUAUAUUUCCAUGAUUUCCUAAGGGAAAAAUAAUUUGACCCUGGAACGGGCUAAUUAAUGUCCUUUAUUUCCUUUGGGGAAAAAAUGUUUUAAAUAAAAGAUUGGCAAAGUGGAACAGACUGGGAGUUUAUUCAUAUACAUUCUAAUGUAUACUACUGUGUAUAUUACUGUAUGUAUUAUAUUAUAUUAGAAUGUAUAUGUCUUGUAAUAUUUUUGCAAUGUAAUCACUACUCUGUAUUAAAUACAAAAUAAAGAAAACAGCUGCAUCAGCUGGA